rnacentral:rRNA from 1 species
AGAGUUUGAUCCUGGCUCAGGAUGAACGCUAGCGGAACGCCUAACACAUGCAAGUCGAACGAGAGUUAUUUUGUAGCAAUACAAGAUAAUAAAAGUGGCAAACGAGCGAGUAACACGUGCUUAACCUGCCCAGAAGUUGAGGCCAACUACAGAGAUGUAGCUAAUCCUCAAUAGUAUCUAAGUGACGAAAUUAGCUUAGAUUAAAGAUUUAUCGCUUUUGGAGGGGGGCGCGUCCUAUCAGGUUGUUGGUGAGGUAAUGGCUCACCAAGCCUAUGACGGGUAGCCGGUCUGAGAUGAUGUCCGGCCGCGAUGGGACUGAGAUACGGCCCAUACUCCUACGGGAGGCAGCAGUGGGGAAUCUUGCACAAUGGGCGAAAGCCUGAUGCAGCGAUUCCGCGUGGAGGAUGACGCAUUACGGUGUGUAAACUCCUUUUCUGGUGGAAGACGAAUGACGGUACACCAGGAAUAAGGGACGGCUAACUACGUGCCAGCAGCCGCGGUAAUACGUAGGUCCCAAGCGUUAUCCGGAUUUACUGGGCGUAAAGCGUCUGUAGCCUGAUAUGUAAGUCUGUUUUCAAAUACCUGGACUCAAUCGAGGGAAGGGGAUAGAUACUGCAUAUCUAGAGAUAUUUGGGGGUUAGUGGAAUUUCCGGUGGAGCGGUGAAAUGCGUUGAUAUCGGAAAGAACGCCAAAAGCGAAAGCAGCUAACUACAAUACAUCUGACGGUGAGAGACGAAAGUUUGGGUAGCAAACGGGAUUAGAUACCCCGGUAGUCCAAACCUUAAAUUAUGCUUGCUAGGUGUUUAGAUCCUUCGGGAUUUGAGUGCCGUAAUCUAACGAGUUAAGCAAGCCGCCUGGGUAGUAUAUUCGCAAGAAUGAAACUCAAAGGGAUAGGCGGGGGAGC